GGUGCCAGAGUUCGUAUAUGACUCCAGUCCUGGCGCUGGAUGCUGCUGCUGUUCCAGCUUCCUAGGUGUGGAAACUGAAGGACCAAGAGAUUAAACAGUGGUGCAAAAGUGGUAAGAAUUCAGCAUUCUCCUCGACAAGUGGACGAGCAUCUACUGUGCUUUCACAGCGGCUAUCACUAUUGCCAGCAGCAAGACUGUCAGCUCGGCGCCCUCGUCUGGUUGGAUGGGAAACUGCAGUUGCUAAGGGAGCUGGGAAUCUCUGAGGACAAAUGGGAAUUCUCACUGAUUUCUAGGACUACCCUGGGGCAGGCACCCUGCACAGCAAUACACACUGAACAAUGUCGAGUUUCUGCUGAAUAGACUUCCUACGUUGCUCUGGAAUUCGAAGUUGGCCUAACUGAGGUCUCCAGUUACAGAAAACACUGGCUCUGGAGCUGACACUGCCCUCCUAAGUUCUGAUCUUGCUCCUGUUCAACUGGAACUUGAUGGAUCCCAUGUGGUUUCCCCCAUCCUGACGCUGUGGCUCAGACACUCUCCCUAAGCUGGUCCUUCCCUCCAAAUCCUGCCUUAAACACACUCAGAAGGUAGAAAACACUUCAGCAGCAAAGUCCUCUUCCCAAGCCAACAGUUGUGUUCUUCCAAUCACAUGAUCUUACCUUUUCAAUAAAAGGCAAAACAAACCAAUUUCCAACAUAGCAUUACAGCCUUUAAAACCAUUCACUUCUCAUAGUGAUUCACAGAGAACAAGAGAUUAAAGUGCUGGAUUUUAAAUGUCUAAAGUUGCCUUCAGGGCUACAAAAAGCCCUGCCGUGUGUGUUUUUCCUUCAUGGUGUUGAGGGGAAGGAAAGAUAGGGAAGGGCAGUGGGGAGAAACCCUAAAAUUUUCAAUCAGAAACUGGAAAUUGUAAAAGU
rnacentral:lncRNA from 1 species